rnacentral:tRNA from 1 species
UGGGAGAUGGCUCAACUGGUAGAGCAUUGGACUUAAAUGCCUAAGGCUCUUGGUUCGAUCCCUAAUAUUACAU